GUUGGCCUCGGGUCGGGCAAGAUUACCCGCUGAACUUAAGCA
rnacentral:rRNA from 1 species